rnacentral:lncRNA from 1 species
CGAACGCCAAGUUAUAUAACUCAUCACUGUAAGUAGGGAAAUUCGAUGAUUUCAACUUAUUCACCUAAUAUAAUACAAAACCAUUCACAUGUUAGUCUGACAAAAUUAAAUACUACAAUUUAUAUUUGUCAAAUACAAAACACUUAUAACUUACAGAAUCCAAAAACCAUUGUGGAAACAAUUCACGGUGUUUCUGGGCAACUAAAUGUGAUGGAUGUUCUCGCUUCAUCAUCUCUUCAUGCUCAUCUAAGUAUGCCAUUAUCUCAUCACAAUUGUUCAGUACGA